GGAUCAGUGGCGAACGGGUGAGUAACACGUGAGCAACCUGCCCUGGACUCUGGGAUAAGCGCUGGAAACGGUGUCUAAUACUGGAUAUGAGCUCUCAUCGCAUGGUGGGGGUUGGAAAGAUUUUUCGGUCUGGGAUGGGCUCGCGGCCUAUCAGCUUGUUGGUGAGGUAAUGGCUCACCAAGGCGUCGACGGGUAGCCGGCCUGAGAGGGUGACCGGCCACACUGGGACUGAGACACGGCCCAGACUCCUACGGGAGGCAGCAGUGGGGAAUAUUGCACAAUGGGCGGAAGCCUGAUGCAGCAACGCCGCGUGAGGGAUGACGGCCUUCGGGUUGUUAAACCUCUUUUAGCAGGGAAGAAGCGAGAGUGACGGUACCUGCAGAAAAAGCGCCGGCUAACUACGUGCCAGCAGCCGCGGUAAUACGUAGGGCGCAAGCGUUAUCCGGAAUUAUUGGGCGUAAAGAGCUCGUAGGCGGUUUGUCGCGUCUGCUGUGAAAUCCCGAGGCUCAACCUCGGGCCUGCAGUGGGUACGGGCAGACUAGAGUGCGGUAGGGGAGAUUGGAAUUCCUGGUGUAGCGGUGGAAUGCGCAGAUAUCAGGAGGAACACCGAUGGCGAAGGCAGAUCUCUGGGCCGUAACUGACGCUGAGGAGCGAAAGGGUGGGGAGCAAACAGGCUUAGAUACCCUGGUAGUCCACCCCGUAAACGUUGGGAACUAGUUGUGGGGACCAUUCCACGGUUUCCGUGACGCAGCUAACGCAUUAAGUUCCCCGCCUGGGGGAGUACGGCCGCAAGGCUAAAACUCAAAGGAAUUGACGGGGACCCGCACAAGCGGCGGAGCAUGCGGAUUAGUUCGAUGCAACGCGAAGAACCUUACCAAGGCUUGACAUACACCAGAACACCGUAGAAAUACGGGACUCUUUGGACACUGGUGAACAGGUGUUGCAUGGUUGUCGUCAGCUCGUGUCGUGAGAUGUUGGGUUAAGUCCCGCAACGAGCGCAACCCUCGUUCUAUGUUGCCAGCACGUAAUGGUGGGAACUCAUGGGAUACUGCCGGGAUCCAACUCGUAGGAAGGUGGGGAUGACGUCAAUUCAUCAUUGCCCCUUAUGUCUUGGGCUUCACGCAUGCUACAAUGGCCGGUACAAAGGGCUGCAAUACCGUGAGGUGGAGCGAAUCCCAAAAAGCCGGUCCCAGUUCGGAUUGAGGUCUGCAACUCGACCUCAUGAAGUCGGAGUCGCUAGUAAUCGCAGAUCAGCAACGCUGCGGUGAAUACGUUCCCGGGUCUUGUACACCCCGCCCGUCAAGUCAUGAAAGUCGGUAACACCUGAAGCCGGUGGCCCAACCCUUGUGGAGGGAGCCGUCGAU
rnacentral:rRNA from 2 species